GUAACUUUAGGAAUUGAUAAUACACAUUAUUAAAUCAAUACAUUUUUAAAUAAAUGUAUUUAGCUACAAAACACAAAAUCAACAUCCAAAUAAGUGCAACAGUUCAUACAUAAACAUUUUGUUUUUUUAUUCAGCCUGAUAUGAAUUACACAUGAUAAAAGAGAGGAUCAUCUUCGAGUUAUGUAAGAACCUCCCUUCCCUUUAUAUAAACACCCGUCACAGACAGUUUCUACAUCAACCUAAAAGAACAGGCCUCGGUACAUGCUAGAGUUCACCUGAGGUUUGGGUUCUGGUUAUUUUUUGUCCUUUUAGUAUUUCCAUUUGUCAUGUAAUCAUGUUGUAGCAGUAGCAAAGGCGUCUGUAUAUAGUCAAAAGUGGUAUUAUGGGAAAAUCAGAGCAGUGAGGUCAGGUGUGAUAACUGACAUCCUGCCCACAUCAAAUGGGUCAGAAAAAAAAAAAUAUUCCAAUAAAUGUUAAUAUAAAAGCUGAGCAUAAUUUUUCCUGUCCCGUCAGAACUGCAUCUUUUGAGAUGUUGACUGGUAUUAAUAAAAAAGUAAAGAUGUUUUAAUUAUUAUUUCUGCAUGUCAUCUGCACUUGGAAACAAACACUGUGCAGUGGAGCUAUCAGCUGACUUAAGGCCCAAUAAAUCUGAAAAAAUGUGUUAUCAGAUCACAAGUCUAACACAACAUAAUGCAAAUGGGGUUGAAACAAAUGUACAACAUCAUUCGGACUAAAAACAGGCACUAAAUUUGUUCCCAUGACCUAAUUUUGUUCCCAGCACCACAAAUCUGGAACUAGUUGUAACAACACCAUGUUCUGCAAUGCCUUUAUGCUCAAGAACUAAACAAGACACUUUAAAACAAAAAGAGCCAGCAAAGAGCAGAACAAUUCAUUAUUUUAAAAAAAAUAGUGUUAAUAUGAUUUGUUUAGAAGUCAAAUUCACAAAGGUGAAUAACCUGCCAAGAACCUGCCAGGGUCAAGUUUCUAUGGAAGCCCGUUUCCGCCACAGAACAAAACAAAUAAAACGGUAUUUUCAACUUUUUCCUUGCAAUUCCUUUUUUCCUGUUUCAAUUUCCUUGCAAAAAAAAAAAAAAAAAAAAAAAAAAAAAAAAAAAAAACGGAAGCAAGAAAAGAGGGAGAACUGUUUUUAAUGUAAACUCGUUGAAUUGUGAGAUAUAAACUUGCAAUUCUUCGAAAAAAAGAAAAAGAAAAAGUCAGGACUCUAAGAUUUCAAGUGUCAAAAUUUCAAUAUAUAAACAAAAAUAAAUAAAUAAAAAAGGCAGAAUUGCA
ensembl:lncRNA